ACAAAGGCUCUUUUCAGAGCCACUCAUACAGUCAUUAAGAGGGCA
rfam:Fukomys damarensis contig90629, whole genome shotgun sequence.